UACGGAGGGUGCAAGCGUUAUCCGGAUUCACUGGGUUUAAAGGGUGCGUAGGCGGGCAGGUAAGUCAGUGGUGAAAUCCUUGAGCUUAACUCGAGAACUGCCAUUGAUACUAUCUGUCUUGAAUAUUGUGGAGGUAAGCGGAAUAUGUCAUGUAGCGGUGAAAUGCUUAGAUAUGACAUAGAACACCUAUUGCGAAGGCAGCUCACUACACAAAGAUUGACACUGAGGCACGAAAGCGUGGGGAUCAAACAGG
rnacentral:rRNA from 1 species